CCCUAGCUGGUUCCUGAAGACUACAGGGAGCAAUGUUUAGAGUUUUUGAUUGCAUUAAAUUGCUAAUAUUUCUUACAACGUGAUUGAAAACUGCAGCAAACUAAUAAAACUGUAGGGCCCCAAUUAUUUAUUCAUGAACAAAAGUUGGUUCGUUCAGUGCUUGCAGGAACUUGAGUGGCAGAGCAUAAGCGGAAACACUGUAUAUCUCGUGAGGAUUACAUACAAAGAAAAUGACAUAAUGAUGUGGAGAGGGCCUGCUAAUAAUAACCUAAAAUCUGUUGGGAGUGGGAAAAUGCUUGAAACAUGACACAUGAAGAAAGAGUUGAUAUGGUUUGCCCAUAAAAGAAGACCUUGCAAAUUGGAAUAGAACUGUGGCUGGAUCAAUCCCAAUGUAAAGAUGGCCACACAUGGAGAAAGUUGGUCAUUUUUCAGCUGAACUGGCUGACUAUUGCAUUUUGUGUCAUACUCUUGACAAACCAUUUGGAAUAAACAUCAGGUCUCAGU